UACGUAGGGGGCAAGCGUUGUCCGGAUUCAUUGGGCGUAAAGAGCGUGUAGGCGGCCAGGUAGGUCGGUUGUGAAAACUGGAGGCUCAACCUUCAGAGGUCGACCGAAACCAUCUGGCUAGAGUCCGGGAGAGGAGAGUGGAAUUCCUGGUGUAGCGGUGAAAUGCGCAGAUAUCAGGAGGAACACCAAUAGCGAAGGCAGCUCGCUGGGACGUUACUGACACUGAGGCGCGAAAGCGUGGGGAGCGAACAGG
rnacentral:rRNA from 1 species